rnacentral:rRNA from 1 species
CAAUAGCGUAUAUUAAAGUUGUUGCGGUUAAAAAGCUCGUAGUUGGAUUUCUGUUGAGGACGGCCGGUCCGCACUAUGUGCGUGUAUCUGGUUCGGCCUCGGCAUCCUCUCGAAAGCCGUUUCUGCGCUUGAUUGCGUGGUUCGGACUUCGGGACUUUUACUUUGAGGAAAUUAGAGUGUUCACGGCAGGCAAGCGCCUUGAAUAUAUUAGCAUGGAAUAAUAAUAUAGGAUCUUGGUCCUAUUUUGUUGGUUUCUAGGGCUAAGAUAAUGAUUAAUAGGGACAAUUGGGGGCAUUCGUAUUAACGCGUCAGAGGUGGAAUUCUUGGAUUGCGUUACGACGAACUACUGCGAAAGCACUUGCCAAGGAUGUUUUCAUUGA